rnacentral:lncRNA from 1 species
CUAAUCACCUCUCCCCAAUACCCCUUAGGCCUCCCCCUGCCUCGCCGUACGCCGACCAUCGCCAGCCGCUCACAACUCCUCACCGGGGCGUCAGGACUUCUCCUCCGCACUACGCCGACCAUCGCCAAUCGCUCACAACUCCUCACCGGGGCGUCAGGCUUCUCCUCCGCACAUGCCCGAACCACCUCAACCUCGCUUCUCGCAUCUUCUCAUCCAC